AACGAACGCUGGCGGCAUGCCUAACACAUGCAAGUCGAACGAGACCUUCGGGUCUAGUGGCGCACGGGUGCGUAACGCGUGGGAACCUGCCAUUAGGUUCGGGAUAACUCCCCGAAAGGGGUGCUAAUACCGGAUAAUGUCUUCGGACCAAAGAUUUAUCGCCUUUGGAUGGGCCCGCGUUGGAUUAGCUAGUUGGUAGGGUAAAAGCCUACCAAGGCGACGAUCCAUAGCUGGUCUGAGAGGAUGAUCAGCCACACUGGGACUGAGACACGGCCCAGACUCCUACGGGAGGCAGCAGUGGGGAAUAUUGGACAAUGGGCGAAAGCCUGAUCCAGCAAUGCCGCGUGAGUGAUGAAGGCCUUAGGGUUGUAAAGCUCUUUUACCCGGGAUGAUAAUGACAGUACCGGGAGAAUAAGCUCCGGCUAACUCCGUG
rnacentral:rRNA from 1 species